UUAACUGGAUAUGUUGUUGCCCUUACACUGU
rnacentral:piRNA from 1 species